rnacentral:rRNA from 1 species
GACGAACGCUGGCGGCGUGCCUAAUACAUGCAAGUAGAACGCUGAAGGAGGAGCUUGCUUCUCUGGAUGAGUUGCGAACGGGUGAGUAACGCGUAGGUAACCCGCCUGGUAGCGGGGGAUAACUAUUGGAAACGAUAGCUAAUACCGCAUAAGAGUAGAUGUCGCAUGACAUUUGCUUAAAAGGUGCAAUUGCAUCACUACCAGAUGGACCUGCGUUGUAUUAGCUAGUUGGUGAGGUAACGGCUCACCAAGGCAACGAUACAUAGCCGACCUGAGAGGGUGAUCGGCCACACUGGGACUGAGACACGGCCCAGACUCCUACGGGAGGCAGCAGUAGGGAAUCUUCGGCAAUGGACGGAAGUCUGACCGAGCAACGCCGCGUGAGUGAAGAAGGUUUUCGGAUCGUAAAGCUCUGUUGUAAGAGAAGAACGAGUGUGAGAGUGGAAAGUUCACACUGUGACGGUAUCUUACCAGAAAGGGACGGCUAACUACGUG